GCCUGUGUGGCUCAGUCAGUUGAGCAUCUGACUUUGGCUCAGGUCAUGAUCUUACAGUUUGUGAGUUCGAGCCCCACAUUGGGCU
rfam:Felis catus isolate Cinnamon breed Abyssinian chromosome D3, whole genome shotgun sequence.